AAUACAUUUUUUUCUUUCUUUCUUUCUUUUCUUUCUUUCUUCUUUCUUCUUUCUUUCUUCUCUCUCUCUCUCUUUUUGAGAUAGGAUCUUGCUCUGUCAUUGUGCCACUGCAGCCUCAAACUCUUGGGGUCAAGUGAUCCUCCUGCCUCAGCAUCCUCAGUAGCUAGGAUUACAGAUGUGCAUCAUCAUGUAUAGAUAAUUUAAAAAAACUUUUUGUAGAGACAGGUUCUCACUAUGUUGCCAAGGCUGGUCUCAAACUUCUGGCCUCAAGUGAUCCUCUAGUCUCGGCCUCCCCAAAAGUUGAGACUACAAGCAUGAGCCACUGCAUUUGGCUUACUUUCUCAUAUAUUAUCUGGUCUCAGAUAUUCUGUUAUAGCAAUAAAAAGACUAAGACAGAAUCCUUAGCUGUCUACAAGUGUGCAUACCAUUUUAAUAAUCUGAAGAGUCAGUGAGAGUCUUAGGUGGAGUCUUGCAAAAGCAGGCCCUGAGCCAAAGAUUUGGAUGCAAAUGACUUAUUAAGAAAGGGCUCCUUGAGAUUGCUCCAUUGCACUGGGCAAGAAGAGUGAAACCCCGUCUCAAAAAAAAAAGGGUGGGGGGCUCCUAGAAAAAAACAGUAAAGGAGUGGGGGAUGAAGGACAGGGAAUGGGAAGAAGCCAAGCAAGAGUGUGAUUUCAGAAGUCCUACAGUCAGCCUGAUCACACCGGAAGCUCUAGAACAAAGAACACACCUCAGAGUUUUUCCUGCCUCAAACACAAAGGAGCUGGAUUUUGGUGCUCUACAUCAGCCUGUCUUUGGCUAUCCAGGAUUAUGGAAUGAGGUGAGACAUAAAACCCCCAGAUACUACCAGCUCCCUCCAGUGUCUGAGGGUAAUCUGCAGAUGCUAGCUGUUAGCAGCAAACUAUGCAGAAGCUGAGGACUGGCUCAAAAAGCCAGAUCUGGGUGAGUCAUGUUUCCUGUUAACAUCUUCUGCUGGGCCCAUAACACAUGCAUCCCCAAACUCCCAUUACAAGUUCAGAGUUUCUAAGGGGAUAGUAUUAAAGUGUGUAUGACAUUGGACUCAGACCUGAGUUUGAAUCCUAAUUCCACAAAAGGAAUUGGAAAAGAGUCACAGUGCUGACUUGACCCUUUGUCGCCACAUCCAUAAAGUGGGAUAAUUAUUCCUAUAUAAUAAAAUGUACUUAUUUAUUCCCUUAAUCAUUUGUUAAAUAAAUAUGGAGUGUCUACUUCGUGCCAGGCACUCUUAGGGUUGUUCUGAGAAGGGGAUGGUAAUGAGAAGGGCUCGAUAAGAUGCAAGACUCUAGGCAACUGCUUUUACUUCCAGUGGUUCCUUAUUUUCACAGCUCAUUAGAGCAAAUUACCACAGCAGGGAAAUACAGGUUGAGUAUCCCUUAUUCAAAAAGACUGGUAACCAGAAGUGUUUUAAAUUUUGGAUUUUUUUGGAUUUUGAAUUUUUUGCAUUAUAAUUACCAGUUGAGCAUCUUUAAUGUGAAAAUGUGAAAUCCAAAAUGCCCCAAUGACCCUUUCCUUUUAGCAUCAUGUUGGCAUUCAAAACGUUUGAGCUGUUGGAGCAUUUAGGAUUUCAGGUUAUUAGAUUGGGGAUACUUAUUUUGUACAGCGGAAAACUUCUUGGCACUGAUCUGGUGAAAGAAGAAAGUACGGAAGAAUCCCUUUCUCCAAAGGACUUUAGAUAUCAAGAUGGUCCUGACUCAUCUGGACAGUUCCUCCAAAGUUAGGCCUACAGGUAGAGCUCUUUUUUGGCAGCAUCAGGGUUCUGGAGAAUUAAAGUUUUUUUAUUUUUUAUUUAUUUAUUUUUUUUAACUGAGGCCAGGAAAGGUUAAGAGAAUGAAGGGUCCUAGUGAUGGUGUAGUAAGCAAGUCAUUUGUAAGUAAUGGAGCCUUAUUUGACAGAUUUCUAGGAACUCAGUAUCCAAGCUCAGGCUUGGCAGACUGAGGUGGGUAUAGUCCUCAGGAUUUCAGUGUAGCUUAGAGGUUUCAACUCCAAUUGUAUUCCACAGCUUCCUUUUCCCCAAUAACCCCGUUUUAUAACAAUUGUUUUGUAGUGAUUCUUUUAUUAAUAUGAUUAUGAAAAUUAAGUAAUUUAUCUUGUGAAUGCUCUAGGCUGGCUGCACUGCUGGUAUAAAGAAGUGCCAGACACUUGCAACUGCCCAGGAUCUCUGUGAACCAGCAGCAUGGAAUACCAAGAGGCACACUAUAUUGAUGGCUCAGAUUCAGAUAUGGUAUUGCUGGUUCUGGCAUAAUUUUCUGAAACGGUGAAAAUCUCUAAAUUCCAAAAACAAAAAAACCAACAUACAUCUUCCUUUAAAUUGCCUGGUAGUUACAUUCCUGGAAAAUUUAGUGUAUAUGAGCCUGAGGUAGUAGAUAAUACUCAAGAAAUAAAAUAAUUGAAAGAUAUAAAACAUGUUUUUUUACACGUGCUUGUAAGCCCAGAUUAUAUGCAGGGUUUUUUUUUUCUUUUCCUGAGGGAGUCUCUUGCCCAGACUGGAGUGAAGUGGCGUGACCUUGGUUCACUGCAACCUCCACCUCCUGGGUACAACCGAUUCUCCUGCCUCAGCCUCUUGAGCAGCUGGGAUUACAGGCAGACGCCCCCACGCCCGGCUAAUUUUUGUAAUUUUAGUAGAGACGUGGUUUCACCAUGUUGGCCAGGCUGAUCUCGAUCACCUGAUCUCAAGUGAUUUCCCCCCGCCUCGGCCUCCGAAAAUGCUGGGAUUACAGGCAUGAGCCGCCGCGUCUACUGCUUUUUCAUACAUUACAUGUACUUGUAUGUAGACUGGGACCUCUGGCCCUCAGAUUGUUAAUAAAUACUCCAAGUGACUUCCUUGCAAAAACCACUGCGAAUCACUUGUCUGGAGAAUGGCAAGUUGCUGAUCUAAGUACUGCAGGGGUGGGGCGGGGGAAGCAACCCAACUCUUCCCCUUUCUGGGAAAGCAGCUGGCUUUGAAGAAAGAGAAACCAGUACCGGAAAGUCCCGAUUUCUAAUCUGAAAGAGCGCUUUUUGCCCAGAGACCGGUGACGAGCGACGCCGGGCUCGGGUUUUGAUUGGGCAGUUCGGAAACUGUAAAAACGAAUUAAAAGAGUGACGAGCUAGUGCUUUAGCCCAUCCAGUUGUGGGAGUUUGGACCGUGACGCCCCCGCUUCGUGACCUUAGGUCUCUCUCUCUCUCUCUCUCUCUCCUGUGACCGUCCGGUCCUCCUUCCCAGAUCAAUAGAGCUGGAAAGUGAUGGGCACUGCUUUCUGGGGCUGCCCAGCUUCAUUCCUGCUAGUAGCAAAAUGCAAAUUAGUCGAGAAUAGCGAUCCCGGGGAGAGGCAGGUGUGUGUGGGGCCCAACAGAAGUACCACCUGGUUAAAAAUUCAUAUCGAACUAUCUUAGAGGUGGCUCCCAGAAGAUCCACUCCCUGUGGGAGCACAGCAGUUGUGGAAGUGAAGACAGGACCGGAACAGAAUAAGAGUUCAAAUAUGCUAGGAAAUCUAAAUUCUUAUAUAAGUCAGAGAGUGACUGAACAAGAGCAGUGAGACAUUGAGGGCUUUUAAUAUUUGCUUUCAACCUUGGCACAGAUCAUUCCUUCUUUAAGACUGAAUCCAAAAAGCAAAAUGGAAUACUAUAAUAAGCUGUGACAGUAUGGUAAAUGCUGAGCAUUCCCUAUAGUCAGAGAAGGCCCAACUCCUGACAUAGCCUUGGAUGCAGAACUGACAGAACUCGGGGAAAGUGAUGAAGUAGUUGAACUCACCUGUGAAUUUCUAGAACCUGUAGUGAUUGACCUAACUCACCAUGACUCUGUUACGAUUAUUGAACAAAGGAGGAGGCCAAGAGCAAACACAAGGUCACUCCAAGGCUAAACUGGAAGUUGUGCAGUAAACACUGAUGAGAAGGGAUUGAUGAGGGACAGAGAUGUAUGUGUAACCAACAGUGCACACUGUAAUUCCCUGCAAAAAAAAUUUUUUGGUAAUACACAACCUGGUUAUAUUCAGUGUCAAGUUUGCAUGGAUGGAUACUCAGAGACUGAACUUAGUAGACAACACAUAUACUCUACAGAAAUGUGGCCACAUCUGUAGUUGGUGCCUCUGCACUUCCUUUAAAUAUACUAAAAUGUGCCCAGCUGGUUUGAAAAAAAUCAGCCUCCAUCAGUAUCACUGCAUUUAUAUAUGAGGUGUGCCUUAUUGCUCAAGACAGAUGGAUCUGUGGCUGGAUUUUUUUCCAUGUCUUUGUGCAGGAACUAUGGGUUGUUGGCAUCCAAUGCUCUGAGCUUAAAAAGAUUGAUUUUAAAAAUUGCUAUCUGCAGUACCUAAAAAACUUUCAUUUCUCAUAUGCUCUGAGACUGCUUUUUGUUUCCUUUGGUUUUAUGCUUCAGGGAGGGACUUUGGUUGCCAGAGUGCCAGAUAAUGGGGUUGCCCUUAAAGCAAUUUUCCCUUUCUUUUUUAAGAGUCAUAAUUUUUAGUUAGCCACAUAUGGGCAUUUUGGACCACAUAAAUAAAGACAACACCAUAGAUAUGGUGAAGCCAGUUGUAAACUAAAAAUAAAAUCCUAAGCUCCCUAAUUGACUGAAUGGAACACCUCCUGACCAAAGUGACCCCAGAAAAACCUUAAAACUGAGUUCCUGGCCAUGACAGGGUGAGGGGUCAGACAUGCUUCAUUAUACCCCCCUUUGAUGGUUUAGACACAACAACUGACCAGCAUUAAUGUCAAAAUAAAGGUUAUAAGACUGACAGAACAGACUCUUUGUAGCAAUAACAAAUUAUUUGUAAGACCUAACGCCAUGCCAGGCAAGUGCUAUGUCAUGCACUCCUACGCUUCAAGAAUAAACUAUGUUCUCACUGCCA